rnacentral:rRNA from 1 species
GGCGAUCAGAUACCGCCCUAGUUCUGACCAUAAACGAUGCCAACUAGCGAUCUGCCGGUGGAAUUUUUGCCCUGGUAGGGAGCUUCCCGGAAACGAAAGUCUUCCGGUUCCGGGGGAAGUAUGGUUGCAAAGCUGAAACUUAAAGGAAUUGACGGAAGGGCACCACCAGGAGUGGAGCCUGCGGCUUAAUUUGACUCAACACGGGGAAUCUCACCCGGCCCGGACACCAUAAGGAUUGACAGAUUGAUAGCUUUUUCAUGAUUUGGUGGAUGGUGGUGCAUGGCCGUUCUUAGUUCGUGGAGCGAUUUGUCUGGUUUAUUCCGAUAACGAGCGAGACUCUAGCCUACUAAAUAGUCUGCACAUUGCUUCUGUGUUGCAGUACUUCUUAGAGGGAUUUUCGGUGUACAGCCGCACGAGAUUGAGCAAUAACAGGUCUGUGAUGCCCUUAGAUGUCCGGGGCUGCACGCGCGCUACACUGGCGAAAUCAGCGUGCUUGUCCUUUCUCGAAAGAGAUUGGUAAACCAAUGAAAAUUUGCCGUGAUUGGGAUCGGAAAUUGCAAUUAUUUUCCGUGAACGAGGAAUUCCAAGUAAAUGCGAGUCAUCAACUCGCGUUGAUUACGUCCCUGCCCUUUGUA